AGACCCGAAACCCGGUGAUCUAGCCAUGGGCAGGUUGAAGGUUGGGUAACACUAACUGGAGGACCGAACCGACUAAUGUUGAAAAAUUAGCGGAUGACCUGUGGCUGGGGGUGAAAGGCCAAUCAAACCGGGAGAUAGCUGGUUCUCCCCGAAAGCUAUUUAGGUAGCGCCUCGUGAAUUCAUCUCCGGGGGUAGAGCACUGUUUCGGCUAGGGGGCCAUCCCGGCUUACCAACCCGAUGCAAACUGCGAAUACCGGAGAAUGUUAUCACGGGAGACACACGGCGGGUGCUAACGUCCGUCGUGAAGAGGGAAACAACCCAGACCGCCAGCUAAGGUCCCAAAGUCAUGGUUAAGUGGGAAACGAUGUGGGAAGGCCCAGACAGCCAGGAUGUUGGCUUAGAAGCAGCCAUCAUUUAAAGAAAGCGUAAUAGCUCACUGGUCGAGUCGGCCUGCGCGGAAGAUGUAACGGGGCUAAACCAUGCACCGAAGCUGCGGCAGCGAACGUAUCACCCAAGACAACUUUACGGAGUUGACGAUUGACGGAGCGAAGCGACGUCAAAGCGUUCAUUAAAGUCGAGUUGGCUUAGGGAUACGUUCGUUGGGUAGGGGAGCGUU
rnacentral:rRNA from 1 species